AACGAACGCUGGCGGCAUGCCUAACACAUGCAAGUCGAACGAGACCUUCGGGUCUAGUGGCGCACGGGUGCGUAACGCGUGGGGAUCUGCCCUUUGCUUCGGAAUAACAGUUAGAAAUGACUGCUAAUACCGGAUGAUGACUUCGGUCCAAAGAUUUAUCGGCAAAGGAUGAACCCGCGUAGGAUUAGCUAGUUGGUGGGGUAAAGGCCUACCAAGGCGACGAUCCUUAGCUGGUCUGAGAGGAUGAUCAGCCACACUGGGACUGAGACACGGCCCAGACUCCUACGGGAGGCAGCAGUGGGGAAUAUUGGACAAUGGGCGAAAGCCUGAUCCAGCAAUGCCGCGUGAGUGAUGAAGGCCUUAGGUUGU
rnacentral:rRNA from 1 species